rnacentral:rRNA from 1 species
CAUGCAGUCGACGCUGAAGCCCCAGCUUGCUGGGGUGGAUGAGUGGCGAACGGGUGAGUAACACGUGAGUAACCUGCCCAUCACUCUGGGAUAAGCGCUGGAAACGGCGUCUAAUACUGGAUACGAGCAGCGACCGCAUGGUCAGUUGCUGGAAAGACUGGUUCGGUGAUGGAUGGACUCGCGGCCUAUCAGCUUGUUGGUGAGGUAAUGGCUCACCAAGGCGACGACGGGUAGCCGGCCUGAGAGGGUGACCGGCCACACUGGGACUGAGACACGGCCCAGACUCCUACGGGAGGCAGCAGUGGGGAAUAUUGCACAAUGGGCGCAAGCCUGAUGCAGCAACGCCGCGUGAGGGAUGACGGCCUUCGGGUUGUAAACCUCUUUUAGUAGGGAAGAAGCCUUCGGGUGACGGUACCUGCAGAAAAAGCACCGGCUAACUACGUGCCAGCAGCCGCGGUAAUACGUAGGGUGCAAGCGUUGUCCGGAAUUAUUGGGCGUAAAGAGCUCGUAGGCGGCUUGUCGCGUCUGCUGUGAAAACCCGAGGCUCAACCUCGGGCCUGCAGUGGGUACGGGCAAGCUAGAGUGCGGUAGGGGAGAUUGGAAUUCCUGGUGUAGCGGUGGAAUGCGCAGAUAUCAGGAGGAACACCGAUGGCGAAGGCAGAUCUCUGGGCCGUAACUGACGCUGAGGAGCGAAAGCAUGGGGAGCGAACAGGAUUAGAUACCCUGGUAGUCCAUGCCGUAAACGUUGGGAACUAGAUGUAGGGCCUGUUCCACGGGUUCUGUGUCGUAGCUAACGCAUUAAGUUCCCCGCCUGGGGAGUACGGCCGCAAGGCUAAAACUCAAAGGAAUUGACGGGGGCCCGCACAAGCGGCGGAGCAUGCGGAUUAAUUCGAUGCAACGCGAAGAACCUUACCAAGGCUUGACAUAUAGAAGAACGGGUCAGAAAUGAUUCACUCUUUGGACACUUCUAUACAGGUGGGUGCAUGGGUUGUCGUCAGCUCGUGUCCGUGAGAUGUUCGGGUUAAGUCCCGGGCAACGAGCGCAACCCUUCGUCCUAAUGUUGCCAGCACCGUAAUGGUGGGGAACUCAUGGGGAUACUUGCCGUGGUCAACACGGGAGGAAAGGUGGGGGAUGACGUCAAAUCAUCAUGGCCCCUUAAUGUCUUGGGGCUUCACGCAUUGUUACAAUGGGCCGGGUACAAUGGGGUUGCCGAUACCC